UCCAACCCCUAACACAGGGGAGAUUCAAUACUGACUGUCAUGUUAUCCACUGGAGAAUUUUACUAAUAGAAUUGUAUCCCUGCUCUAUUCAGGUGUUUUUAGGUAACACAUCUACCAAACGUCUCUGUCUUGGAAGGGCACUUACUAUGACCAAAAGCUUGGAAUUUGUUUUACAAAAAAUCCAUUAAUGAGAAAGAGAAAGAGAGUGUGAGAGAAGAGGAAUUGAAGCAGGUAGAACAGUCCUGAACUCCACCUGAAGCUUAGGAUGAAGCCCAGGAACAUCCAGCCUAGAUCAUUUGACCAACAGCCAACUUGCAGAUUGCUCAAUUUUCCUACAUAAUUAAGAGUUUGGAAUUUGGGCAAUAUCAAGAACCACAUCUGUCCUGAAAUCAAUUAUCUUUGUUUG
rnacentral:lncRNA from 1 species